AGCCAAUCUGGGUGAAACACGUACAUCUUGUGUUUGCUUCCUUGUCUCUAUCCAUUUGCAUACUUAUCCACACUAGUGACCGAAGCAAUCUAGCGAAUGUCACAAACUUGACACUUUCUGUUGUACCAAAGUCCUCACUGAUUUUGUGCAUCAACACCAUCAACCUUGUUAUAGUAAAUUUUUUUGUCAAUCUUUCUUAUAGUAAUUACAACAUCAUUUUGUGUUAUUAACUAUCAUUUUACCAAAUCAUAUUUACACUGUCAAUAUAAAAUAUAAUACUUGAACGUGAUUGCAUUACAUUAUCAACGUCCAAUUUAACUAAACGAUAACCUAGAAUUUCCUUUUUAAAGUUAUGCAAUACCUACAGAUAUAAAACAAAAAUAAGAGAAAAUGAUGUUUAGGAAAGAAAAUAAGCAAGCAAUCCCAUUCCCAAUUGCAUGUGUUAGGAAAGAGAGUGGCGGCAAAGCAAUGAACACUGCAAUUGCCAAUAAUAAUUCUGAUGACUCCUUUCUAGUAUUUCAUCUAAUCCAAGUAAUAAAAGAAUAGAAUAAAAACAGCAUCUUGUAAGUGGGGGAGGCACUAAACCAAAGGUUGAAAUUUGUCAGAUUAGGGUUCUUAUUGUACCCUUACUACAGUUACAAGACACCGUCUCAGACUUCAGACCGCCAGAAGUAAUCUGAUUCCAGAGACUUCAAUUCCCUCCACCGGAAAAGGUAAUUCGAGCCUUCACUUCUUUCUUGCCCAGUUGCCCUUCCAGUAUCACUCUUAUCCUAUUUUUCUAUGUUUAUUUAAUAUUUUGUGCAGUUUUGGAGGGAUUGAAUUGAAAAUUAGUGUUCUUCCUUUCUUUGGUAGGUUCUUUUUUUAUGUGGAUAAGCCAGCCGUUAUCAAAUUUUGGUUCUUUUGGAUUAAUUCCUUGAUGGGUUUUUCUGGGUUUUCGGUUCGGAAUUAGGAGCUGAAUCGAUUGGUUAAUUGAUGGGUUUUUCCUUGUGGUAUUUUUAGGUGGAGGUGAUACUAUAAAAGAUUAUCCAAAGCAGGAAUUGCAGAAAAGGAAGCAAAGGUAAGAAGAAGGUAAUAUGGCUCAAUCCCUCGAUAAUCUGGAGGGUGCAUUAUCAUUGAUUUAAAUAGUGUACAAUGAUUUGAUGUACAAGUAUAAUUAAUAUACAAAUAAUACAU
rnacentral:lncRNA from 1 species